rnacentral:rRNA from 1 species
UUACCAAAGUGGAAGGCAGCGCUUAUGCCAAAGAGCGGCAGGUUAACUUUGGUCCAAUCCGUGUUAUGCGCCAUGCCAAUUCACGCGAUGAUGGCUUUGGAUCUUCCGAUGAAACCAAUUGCCGCAAUGAACAAGAUCUGUUGAGGUUUCUUGUGGAGCAGGCGUGCUGAUGCUAAUGGUGGAAAUUGUGUGGUUGCUUGGGAUUCGGUAUGCACGCCCAAGUGGGCAGGUGGGCUUGGAUUGCCAAAUCUACGCUGGAUGAAUGUUGCAAUGCAGGUGAGAUGGCCAUGGCUAGCAAGGACAGACGAGACGAGGUCGUGGAGUGAGUUCACGAUCAAAGUCCCGGAUGAGUCAAAGAUGCUUUGUCAGGCGGCCAUGAGGAGUGUUGCAAAUAAUGGCCUCAAGACGUUAUUUUGGGAGAACCGGUGGUUAGAUGGAAGGAGAAUUCAGGAAAUUGCAUCGCUCCUGUAUGGUUUGGUUCCACCUCGCAUUAGAGCCUCUCGACUAGUUGGCCCGGCUGUG